GACGGGGGGGGGCAAGUGUUCUUCGGAAUUACUGGGCGUAAAGCGUGCGCAGGCGGUCUGUUAAGACCGAUGUGAAAUCCCCGGGCUUAACCUGGGAACUGCAUUGGUGACUGGCAGGCUUUGAGUGUGGCAGAGGGAGGUAGAAUUCCACGUGUAGCAGUGAAAUGCGUAGAGAUGUGGAGGAAUACCGAUGGCGAAGGCAGCCUCCUGGGCCAACACUGACGCUCAUGCACGAAAGCGUGGGGAGCAAACAAGG
rnacentral:rRNA from 1 species